UAGGGAAUCUUCCACAAUGGACGCAAGUCUGAUGGAGCAACGCCGCGUGAGUGAAGAAGGUCUUCGGAUCGUAAAGCUCUGUUGUUGGUGAAGAAGGAUAGAGGCAGUAACUGGUCUUUAUUUGACGGUAAUCAACCAGAAAGUCACGGCUAACUACGUGCCAGCAGCCGCGGUAAUACGUAGGUGGCAAGCGUUGUCCGGAUUUAUUGGGCGUAAAGCGAGCGCAGGCGGAAUGAUAAGUCUGAUGUGAAAGCCCACGGCUCAACCGUGGAACUGCAUCGGAAACUGUCAUUCUUGAGUGCAGAAGAGGAGAGUGGAACUCCAUGUGUAGCGGUGGAAUGCGUAGAUAUAUGGAAGAACACCAGUGGCGAAGGCGGCUCUCUGGUCUGCAACUGACGCUGAGGCUCGAAAGCAUGGGUAGCGAACAGGAUUAGAUACCCUGGUAGUCCAUGCCGUAAACGAUGAGCGCUAGGUGUUGGGGACUUUCCGGUUCUCAGUGCCGCAGCAAACGCAUUAA
rnacentral:rRNA from 1 species